ACAGAGAGUGCAAACGUUGUUCGGAAUUACUGGGCUUAAAGCGCACGUAGGCGGCUCCGCAAGUGUCGGGUGAAAUCCCACGGCUUACCCGUGGAACUGCCCGGCAGACUGCGGAGCUAGAGGAUGGUAGGGGAGAGCGGAACUCCAGGUGGAGCGGUGAAAUGCGUAGAUAUCUGGAGGAACACCGGUGGCGAAGGCGGCUCUCUGGUCCAUAACUGACGCUGAGGUGCGAAAGCUAGGGGAGCAAACGGGAUUAGAUACCCCGGUAGUCCUAGCUGUAAACGAUGGGCACUAACUUGGGGUCUCCCUGUGUGAUCCCAGGUGUAGCAAAAGUGAUAAGUGCCCCGCCUGGGGAGUAUGGUCGCAAGGCUG
rnacentral:rRNA from 1 species